rnacentral:rRNA from 1 species
UACGGGGGGGGCAAGCGUUGUUCGGAAUUACUGGGCGUAAAGGGCUCGUAGGUGGCCAACUAAGUCAGACGUGAAAUCCCUCGGCUUAACCGGGGAACUGCGUCUGAUACUGGAUGGCUUGAGUAUGGGAGAGGGAUGUAGAAUUCCAGGUGUAGCGGUGAAAUGCGUAGAUAUCUGGAGGAAUACCGGUGGCGAAGGCGGCAUCCUGGACCAUUACUGACGCUGAGGCGCGAAAGCUAGGGGAGCAAGCGGG